rnacentral:rRNA from 1 species
CCUAUCGGGAGGCAGCAGUGGGGAAUAUUGCACAAUGGGGGAAACCCUGAUGCAGCCAUGCCGCGUGUGUGAAGAAGGCCUUCGGGUUGUAAAGCACUUUCAGUGGGGAGGAAGGGGCGAUGUCUAAUACGCAUUGUCAUUGACGUUACCCACAGAAGAAGCACCGGCUAACUCCGUGCCAGCAGCCGCGGUAAU